GACGAACGCUGGCGGUGUGCUUAGCACAUGCAAGUCGAACGGAAAGGCCUCUUUCGGGGGGUACUCGAGUGGCGAACGGGUGAGUAACACGUGAGUAACCUGCCCUUGACUUUGGGUUAACUUCAGUAAACUGGGGCUAAUACCGGAUAGGAGCUCCUGCUGCAUGGUGGGGGUUAUAAAGUUUCGGGGGUUGGGGAUGGACUCACGGCGUAUCAGCUUGUUGUUGGGGUAUUGGGUUACCAAGGCUUUGACGGGUAGCCGGCCUGAGAGGGUGACCCGCCACAUUGGGACUGAGGUACGGCCCAGACUCCGACGGGAGGCAGCUGGGGGGAAGAUUGCACAAGGGGUGGAAGCCGGAUGCAGCAACGCCGUGGGCGGGAUGACGGCCUUCGGGUUGUAAACCGCUUUCGCUCAUGACGAAGCUUUGUGUGACGGUAGUGGGUAAAGAAGCACCGGCUAACUACGUG
rnacentral:rRNA from 1 species